rnacentral:rRNA from 1 species
AGUGAACGCUGGCGGCAUGCCUAACACAUGCAAGUCGAACGGCAGCACAGUAAGAGCUUGCUCUUACGGGUGGCGAGUGGCCGACGGGUCAGGAAGACAACGGAAUCUACGUUUUCGUGGGGCAUAACGGAGGGUAACAUACGCUAAUACCUCAUACUACCUCCUGGUGAAAGCACGCGACCUGCGGACCGUGUGCGAUUUAAUUAGCCGAUGUCUGAUUAGCCAGUUGGCGGGGUAGAGGCCGACCAAGUCGACGAUCCGAACCUAGUCUGAGAGGAUGGUUAACCACACGGGAACUGAGACAGGGUCGCGACAACUACGGGAGGCAGCAGUGGGGAAUAUUAGACAAUGGGCGCAAGCCUGAUCCAGCCAUACCGCGUGGGUGAAGAAGGCGUUCCGGUUGUAGAGCCCUUUUGUUGGGAGGUAAAAGCAGCAGGUUAAUACCCCGCUGUUCUGACGGUACCCAAAGAAUAAGCCCCGGCUAACUUCGUG